ACUAUGUGUUGUUGGGUAGGGGAGCGUUCUGUAAGCCUGUGAAGGUGGCCUGUGAGGGUUGCUGGAGGUAUCAGAAGUGCGAAUGCUGACAUAAGUAACGAUAAAGCGGGUGAAAAGCCCGCUCGCCGGAAGACCAAGGGUUCCUGUCCAACGUUAAUCGGGGCAGGGUGAGUCGACCCCUAAGGCGAGGCCGAAAGGCGUAGUCGAUGGGAAACGGGUUAAUAUUCCCGUACUUGGUGUUACUGCGAAGGGGGGACGGAGAAGGCUAUGUUGGCCGGGCGACGGUUGUCCCGGUUUAAGCGUGUAGGUGUGUGUUCCAGGUAAAUCCGGUUCACUUUAACACUGAGGCGUGAUGACGAGGCACUACGGUGCUGAAGCAACAA
rnacentral:rRNA from 1 species